CCUACGGGAGGCAGCAGUAAGGAAUAUUGGUCAAUGGACGCAAGUCUGAACCAGCCAUGCCGCGUGCAGGAUGAAGGCCCUCUGGGUUGUAAACUGCUUUUAUAGGGGACGAAAAAGGGACUUUCUAGUUCAACUGACGGUACCCCUAGGAAUAAGCACCGGCUAACUCCGUGCCAGCAGCCGCGGUAAUACGGAGGGUGCAAGCGUUAUCCGGAUUUACUGGGUUUAAAGGGUGCGUAGGUGGGUCGGUAAGUCAGCGGUGAAAUCUUCAAGCUUAACUUGGAAACUGCCAUUGAUACUAUCGAUCUUGAAUCAUCUGGAGGUAAGCGGAAUAUGUCAUGUAGCGGUGAAAUGCUUAGAUAUGACAUAGAACACCAAUUGCGAAGGCAGCUUACUACGGAUGUAUUGACACUGAGGCACGAAAGCGUGGGGAUCAAACAGGAUUAGAUACCCUGGUAGUCCACGCCCUAAACGAUGGAUACUCGACAUACGUGAUAUACUAUGUGUGUCUGAGCGAAAGCAUUAAGUAUCCCACCUGGAAGUACGAUCGCAGAUUGAACUCAAAUGAAAUUGAGG
rnacentral:rRNA from 1 species